AGAAAGUGUCACAAAUUAACGCAGAUCCAGGGACUCCCUGUUCUCAAAAGGGCGAAACUCCAGCCUUGGCAGUGGUUUGCAGUUUCGGUGUAGAGCUGCUUCUGUACCGCCAUGAAUGGAGGUGAGACUGGCGUGCAGGAGUCUGUCACCCGUGGACAGAGGCUCGAUGAGGGACAGAAACUGUGAGCGGGUCUCUCGGUGCCCCAGGAUGGACACACACAUGGCGAAGAAACCCUCGGGAUCCUCUCGACCCUCCAGUACUUCCCCUAACCACCAUUUAACUGUGGCUUGGGCAUCCGCUCCUGAAGGAGGCAUCUUCGAGUGAAAGGUGUCGGUUCACCUUUGGCUACAGGAUGCUCACUUUCUGUGCAGUGAGUGGAAGAAUCAAGGGCAGG